CUACGGGAGGCAGCAGUAGGGAAUCUUCCACAAUGGACGAAAGUCUGAUGGAGCAACGCCGCGUGAGUGAAGAAGGGUUUCGGCUCGUAAAGCUCUGUUGGGAGUGAAGAAAGAUAGAGGUAGUAACUGGCCUUUAUUUGACGGUAAUUACUUAGAAAGUCACGGCUAACUACGUGCCAGCAGCCGCGGUAAUACGUAGGUGGCAAGCGUUGUCCGGAUUUAUUGGGCGUAAAGCGAGUGCAGGCGGUUCUAUAAAUUUGUUUUGAGA
rnacentral:rRNA from 1 species